UACCACAGCCAUAUCACCCUGCAGCCCAAGACUGGUUACUUACUGAAACUAAGCAUGGCUGUGCCUGAUCAGUACCUGGAUGGGAGAUCUCAUGGGAAAACUAGGUUGCUGUUGGAA
ensembl:rRNA 5S_rRNA 5S ribosomal RNA